rnacentral:misc_RNA from 1 species
GAUGAAGAACGUAGCGAAAUGCGAUAAGUAAUGUGAAUUGCAGAAUUCAGUGAAUCAUCGAAUCUUUGAACGCACCUUGCGCUCCUUGGCAUUCCGAGGAGCAUGCCUGUUUGAGUGUCAUUAAAUUCUCAAGACCUGUCUGCUUUUUUGAUAGGUAUUGGAUGUUGGGGGUUGCAGGCUGUUUCAAAUAAAUAGCCUUGCUCUCCUUGAAUGUAUUAGUGGAGAAAAGCCAUUGAACUCCAUUGGUGUGAUAAAACCUAUCAAUGCCAGGAGCAAUAUCACUACUUCUCUCUGCUGUCUAACUGUGACUGUCUGUAUUAAUUAGUAUGGAUGGGGACAACUUGACCAACUUGACCUCAAAUCAGGUAGGACUACCCGCUGAACUUAAGCAUAUCAAUAAGCGGAGGA